GACAGAGGGUGCAAACGUUGUUCGGAAUUACUGGGCGUAAAGCGCGUGUAGGCGGCUUUGCAAGUCGGAUGUGAAAUUCCACGGCUCAACCGUGGAAGUGCAUUCGAAACUGCAAGGCUAGAGUCCUGGAGAGGAAGGUGGAAUGCUUGGUGUAGAGGUGAAAUGCGUAGAUAUCGGAAGGAACAUCAGUGGCGAAAGCGACUUCCUGGACCAAUACUGACGCUCAUGUGCGAAAGCGUGGGGAGCAAACAGG
rnacentral:rRNA from 1 species